UACGGAGGGUGCAAGCGUUAUCCGGAUUCACUGGGUUUAAAGGGUGCGUGGGCGGGUUGGUAAGUCCGUGGUGAAAUCUCCGAGCUUAACUCGGAAACUGCCGUGGAUACUAUCAAUCUUGAAUAUCGUGGAGGUAAGCGGAAUAUGUCAUGUAGCGGUGAAAUGCUUAGAUAUGACAUAGAACACCAAUUGCGUAGGCAGCUUACUACACGAUCAUUGACGCUGAGGCACGAAAGCGUGGGGAGCAAACAGG
rnacentral:rRNA from 1 species